rnacentral:misc_RNA from 1 species
GAUGAAGAACGUAGUGAAAUGCGAUAAGUAAUGUGAAUUGCAGAAUUCAGUGAAUCAUCGAAUCUUUGAACGCACAUUGCGCCCGCCAGUAUUCUGGCGGGCAUGCCUGUUCGAGCGUCAUUUCAACCCUCAAGCUCUGUCUUGCGCUUGGUGUUGGGGAUCGGCCCUGCCCGCCAGCCCGGGCGGGCCGCCCCCGAAAUGAAUCGGCGGUCUCGUCGCAGCCUCCUCUGCGUAGUAAUUCAGUUAUCCUCGCACUUGGAGCGCGGCGCGGCCACUGCCCGUAAAACGCCCAACUUCUCAAGAGUUGACCUCGAAUCAGGUAGGAAUACCCGCUGAACUUAAGCAUAUCAAUAAGCGGAGGA